AUCAAACUUUUACUUAAGCAUGUUAUACCUACUGUUAGCGGGUUAAAUCGAAUCUACGCAUUCCAUCACUAUUCAAUCGAUGACUCGUGCACUACACUACGAUCUGUCACUUGACUUUCGGUAUUUUCGCGCGUAUAUUAAUGCUAAAUGUUUUCUUGUUCAAGUUUGCUAAUAAAUGUGGUUGAUAAGUAAAUUCAGUCUUUAUAGAGUUCAGAAGUGAGAUCUGAAACCUAUGAUGAUAGUAACGUGAUUUCAAAAGGUUCCAGGUGACCAAUGUUUCGUGUUAUUUGUCACGAAUGUUAUCACAAAACGCCCACGAUUCUAUGAUUAUAAUGGAAUAUGAUGAAGAGAAAAUGUCAAGGAAACUACGCUGACAACUGUGUGAGAUGCAGAAAAGUAUUUAAGUACGAGAAAUGAUGACGCAAAUUAUGAAGAUACUCCCUCCGUAACUUGGCUUGUGGUCACGUAAGUGGUGAACAAUUUGACUAACGAUGGCCCCAGAGCAGGUACGAUUUAUUAUUAUUAUCGAUUAUUCCAUCAGCAACAAUAUUAACACAUUUCCUUUUUGAGCAAAAUAAUGCAUGGAAGUGAAUGAUGCAUCAAAUGUUAUAGGUAUUGUCAGUCUUUACUGAUAAUGCCAGGAAUGUGUGUGAAAGCUAUGGUAUGUGCUCACUUUAAUUGCAAUGCCUAAUAAACUAUUUUAGUAAAUCAAAUUAAAUUGAACGGUGUUAACUUGUUCAUGUUUACAUUCUGCGAAGAAUAACCUGUUGAGAUUUAAAAUCUACAAAGAAUAGAUAGAAUAUGGUCAGAUAAAUUAAAUAAGUUUGGUGAUCAUGCCCGAGUCACCUCUUGGCAUUAUUUUGGAGAAAAAUUAAUAAUUUUAUUCAAGUAAAUUGAAGCUAAGGUCUGUGUUGUGUAAACCAGUUUUAGUAUCAUGAUGUUUCUUUCUUGACGUUGAGCACUAUAAGAUGAGAUAAAAUUAAUUAGCUUAAUUUGUAAAUUGAAAUUAAGUAAAGCAGCCAGUUAUGCCGUUGAACAUGUGGUGUAUUUUUGGUACUCUUAUAGUGAUUGAUACUUCAAUUAUUGGGAAACAUAAUUAUUAUUAUGUUACAUGAUGCUAUAUUUUGAGUUAAGAUAAUGUUAAUAUUGAACUUUUCCAACUUAUCAAUUAAUUUCUGCUGCCAGUAGUGAUUUGGGUUGUAUCACUAAAAUUGAAAAAAAGUGUGGGUGAUUAAAAUUUAUCCAAUUAUUAUAAUUUAAAAAAAAAAAGAUAUAGAAUGUGGUACAUUUAACUUAAAGAGUAUUCUUGUGUACCAGCCAUUAUUGUUGGUUAUUCUUCCCACAUGGUGAAAAUGAUUUUAAUCUUGAGGUUAUUUUAUUAGCUGUUUAAUAAAAAGGUUACUGGUUGUAGCAUGUUGUGUGUGCAUAUUUUUAGAUUUGACUUGAGUUUUAGAUAUGGUGACCUAUCUGUCUGCGGGUUGGCCCUGUGGUGAGCAAAUCAGUCAAGCACAAUACCUGAGUGAAGCUUAACACUGAGCAAGGGUACUCCACAUAAGUGAUUUGGAGUUGAACAGAAGGUAAUGCUAUACAAAAGACAUCAGCUGUGAUAUUUGGUGAGUGAAAAUGCCAUACAAAAGGAAUCAGCUGUGAUAUUUGGUGAGUUGAAUUAAUGUUUUAUUGCAAGGGUUGAGCUGAGACUAGCAGUGCCACUGCGGCUUGGUUGUUUAACUGUGCUUAUUCUUGUCAUUGGCAUGAAAUUGCAUACAAUUAACUUGAGUGUGAAUAGAUUUUAAUAAUUAAUUAGCUACAGUCUACUGCUAGACUUUAGAACUUCCUAACUGCCGCUAGCAGCCUUAAGCAAAAAGUUAUUUAAAGUACUUGGGUUUUUCUUGUGAAUGCUUUGAGGAUGGUAACUUCAUUGAAGUAUUUGCAAUUGUGCUGUUAUCUAAGAUAAUAACAAGAAGUUUGUUUUGAUAAAGUUGCAUUUGUGUGUGGAGCAACUUGGUGUUCACCCAAACACAAUGUUAAGCAUCAUAUGAGAUUAGUUGGAUUGAGUGGAAGGAAAAAUUAAUAAAGGCUUUUCCUUUCACUAAAAAUAAAUUAUCACAAAUCAGGGACUUAGUGAAUCGAGUCCGGUUGCCUAAUGAAGAGCCUAUAGAAUUUUAUUACAAUAAAUUGGGAAUAGUAUCAAUAAUUUAGAUGCUAGUGUAGAACAAGACCAACCUGUGACAGCAUUGAGAAGUGUCAGUUCUAACAAAAAUAUAAAAUGUUUUGUUUGUGGCAAAUUAGGUCACAAGGCAAGUAGAUGUCGUAAGAGCAAGGAACACAGAUAUA